ensembl:lncRNA
UCACCACACAAUUGCAGGUCCUAAGCCUGACCCCCUGCCCAGGAACUGCUGACAACCCCAAAAACACCCGAGGUGUGUGUGUGUGUGUGUGUGUGUGUGUGUGAGAGACAACCCCAAAAACACCCGAGGUGUGUGUGUGUGAGACAACCCCAAAAACACCCGAGGUGUGUGUGUGUGUGUGUGUGUGAGACAACCCCAAAAACACUCGAGGUGUGUGUGUGUGUGUGUGUGUUUGAGAGACAACCCCAAAAACACCCGAGGUGUGUGUGUGUGUGUGUGUGUGAGAGAGACAACCCCAAAAACACCCGAGGUGUGUGUGUGUGUGUGUGUGUGUGAGAGAGACAACCCCAAAAACACCCGAGGUGUGUGUGUGUGUGUGUGUGAGACAACCCCAAAAACACCCGAGGUGUGUGUGUGUGUGUGUGUGUGUGUGUGUGUGUGUGAGACAACCCCAAAAACACCCGAGGUGUGUGUGUGUGUGUGUGUGUGUGUGUGUGAGACAACCCCAAAAACCCACUAGCAGUGGCCAGCAGCCGAGGUGUGUGUGUGUGUGUGUGUGUGUGUGUGUGUGUGUGUGUGUGUGUGUGUGUGUGUGUGUGUGUGUGUGUGUGUGAGACAACCCCAAAAACCUACCAG